rnacentral:lncRNA from 11 species
GGCUGCAGAAGAGGUCAAGUCAGAGGUGGCAAACCUCAAAAAAGCUCCAGCCUGCAUUCCUCCAUGUGGGUUCCAGAUAAAUGCCCGUUACUAUACCUGCUCAACAUGUAGUUUUGAGGACUGCCAGCUGCCUAUCGAUUGCCCAACUCAGAACUGAGGACCUUUUUCUGUUCCAAGACCUGUCCUUUGGGUUCAAUCCAACACUCCUCAUCCGACCCACCUUGGGAGCCCACCAUGGGACAUUCAUCUGCGAGAUUGCAGAAGGAGAUGACAUUCUGCUCAGAAAGUACUUCUACGUCAAUGUGACAGAGAAAAGGCUUGGGCUGGAAAAAGAGCUGCAAAGUAUGUUCAUUGCCAUCCUGAAUCCCCCACCGAAGGCAGAGCAGGAGAUCGUGGAAAGACACCGGCCUUCCCUGGAAGACAUGCUUUCGGGUCCAAACUUCUUGCGCAAAAAGAAUGUCAUUCUCCUCAUCAUAGGAAUAGUCCUGGGCUCCAUGGUCUUCACCAUGGUGGCAAUGACACUUUAUCGCUGGGCCAUGUGAAUGGGAAAGGACUUUGUGGACCUGCCUUCCUCUCCUGCUUUCUUCCCACCAUCCUGUUUUAGUAAAAAAAACCAAAAAAACUCUGUAUACCUUGACGUCAUAUUUGUUAUUGCUGCUAUUUUAUUUGCAUUUGACUUUGAUUUAUGACGAUUGAUUCCAUGAACGAGAGACCCCCAAGAGCUCCUGGUGUCAACUCACGUCUUGCUAACUCUUGCUAACUGUGACUUCAGUGAUUGAAUCCAUUCACUUGUGUGACCUCAUGUUGUUCCUGACUUAUGUUGACUAUAUCAUUAUUAUUAUUAUUAUUAAACUUAUAUACCGCUACUCCCAGUUUGGCUCGGAGCGGUUUACAAAAAUAGAUUAAAACAAUACACUUGGCUUUAAAAUAACAAUAAAAACAACAAUAAAAGCAACAAUAAAAACAGACAUAGCCCCGAGUUUUUCAC